rnacentral:rRNA from 1 species
UACGGAGGAUGCAAGCGUUAUUCGGAAUGACUGGGCGUAAAGCGUCCGCAGGUGGUUGCUCAAGUCGAUUGUCAAAGGUCAGGGCUUAACCCGGAAACGGCAGUGGAAACUGAACAGCUAGAGUGCGGUAGGGGUAGAGGGAAUUCCCGGUGUAGCGGUGAAAUGCGUAGAGAUCGGGAAGAACACCAGUGGCGAAAGCGCUCUACUGGGUCGCAACUGACGCUCAGGCACGAAAGCUAGGGGAGCGAAUGGG